CAGUUUUAGAUUCUGAUUCUGCUGUGGAAAGUUUGGUGAACCUUAACACUUAGAGGAAGGAGAAGUCGUAACAAGGUUUCCGUAGGUGAACCUGCGGAAGGAUCAUUC
rnacentral:rRNA from 1 species